GCACUGAAAGUGAGUGUUGGAGAAAUGCAAACUGGAAAUCCGUCUCAAAGUGUUGACGUUUUCAGCUUGUUUUUCUCCAAUAUCUCACUUUCGGUCG
rnacentral:pre_miRNA from 1 species